rnacentral:rRNA from 1 species
GAUGAACGCUGGCGGCGUGCCUAAUACAUGCAAGUCGAACGUGAGCUUCAUUUCGGUGGAGUGAAAGUGGCGAACGGGUGAGUAACACAUGGCUGACCUGCCCUUCAGCGGGGGAUAACUACUGGAAACGGUGGCUAAUACCGCAUACGUUCGUGGGGACCAGAAGCCCACGAGGAAAGCGCAAGCACUGAAGGAGGGGGCUGUGACCCAUCAGCUAGUUGGUAGGGUAAGGGCCUACCAAGGCGAGGACGGGUAGGGGGCCUGAGAGGGUGACCCCCCACACUGGCACUGAGAGACGGGCCAGACUCCUACGGGAGGCAGCAGUAAGGGAUAUUGCGACAAUGGGCGAAAGCCUGACGCAGCAACGCCGCGUGCGGGAUGACGGCCUUCGGGUUGUAAACCGCUUUUCGAGGGGAAGAGGAAGGACGGUACCCUCGGAAUAAGUCUCGGCUAACUACGUGC